UACGAAGGGGGCUAGCGUUGCUCGGAAUCACUGGGCGUAAAGCGCACGUAGGCGGCUUCUUAAGUCAGGGGUGAAAGCCUGGAGCUCAACUCCAGAACUGCCUUUGAUACUGAGGAGCUUGAGUCCGGGAGAGGUGAGUGGAACUGCGAGUGUAGAGGUGAAAUUCGUAGAUAUUCGCAAGAACACCCGUGGCGAAGGCGGCUCUCUGGGACGGUACUGACGCUGAGACGCGAAAGCGUGGGGAGCGAACAGG
rnacentral:rRNA from 1 species